rnacentral:lncRNA from 13 species
GUUAUUAACACUAGUCAUGCAUAGCCUAACAAUUCAAGUUAUUAACACUAGUCAUGCAUAGUCUAACAAUUCAAGUUAUUAACACUAGUCUAACAAUUCAAGUUAUUAACACUAGUCUAACAAUUCAAGUUAUUAACACUAGUCAUGCAUAGUCUAACAAUCCAAGUUAUUAACACUAGUCAUGCAUAGUCUAACAAUCCAAGUUAUUAACACUAGUCAUGCAUAGUCUAACAAUCCACGUUAUUAACACUAGUCAUGCAUAGUCUAACAAUUCAAGUUAUUACAACUAGUCAUGCAUAGUCCAAGUGGUCAUUAGCAUAUGCAGUUGUUGUAUGUUUACUUCAAUGAAGUGAACCACUACUCUCGUCCACUUCCCCGUUCUCAGGACAUCACUGCGUAUCGCAACAAGGGCAAGGUGCCCGUCAGCAUGCCCGUGAAGGCCGCUGCCCCAACCAAGGACGACGACGACGACGACGAUGAUGAGGACGACGACGACGAUGACGACGACGAUGACGACGACGAUGACGAGUAGAUCCACGUUGAUCCACGUGGUUGUUAGAGCUUAUCAUUUCUUGUUUAUAAAGCAUUUAACCCUUCUUGUUCACGCAUCACUUACACAGAACAAAAUAAAAAACAUUACUUGAAUAAGUUACCAAAAAAAAAGAACCCCCCCCCCCUCUUCUCUCCUCUCUCCCUCCAAAAACGUAAACGCUGUGUAUAAGAAGUGUUUUGCAGCUGUACAGGUUGUUGUCUCCUUUUUUUUGUAUAGUUUAACACUACAACAGUGUCACCUGUAUCUGUCUGUGUUUCUAUCUCCCAGUCUCUUUGCGUCCAAAAAAUGGAAUCCUAUUCCUUAUUUCGUGUACUACUUUUGACAAAGGUCUAAUAGGGCUCAGGUCAAAAGUAGAUCACUAUAUAGGGAAUAGGGUGCAAUUUGUGGACGCCCCCCCCCCCCCAUUUGUUACAGUUUAAAGCGGUUUGUAAAAAAAUAUAAUAAAAAAUUAGUCUUGGAAACCGAUGGGUCUAUUUGCCUUAGCUAGCAGUGCACAGCAGCACAUUACCUGGUUAUAAUGUAGGGUCUUCGUAGUUCUUCUGUUUCCGAUGGGCCCCGUGUGUUUUGUUUUCUUCUUGUUUUUAAAUGAUGUAUUAUCAACUCGCCGUAUUGUCAUAAAGAUAUUUUACUGGACUAUUUCAAUACCACUGUCAUCGCAAAUAAAUAAAAGAGGAAAUAUUAGCUUUUUAUUUUUAUUUUUUUGAGAUUCUGAAUUGCUUCUGACGUCAAUAAACUUUUUUUUUUUUUUUUUAAAUCGACUGGUUUCUUUCUUUUCUGCGUUUAGAAUCUCUUGGUUACGCAGAUCAUCUCGUCCAGGGUUUCUCAAACUCGGUCCCGGGCCCAACCCCCUGGUACACAUUUUGUUAUUUGUGUAACGGUUUGAGUCGAAGGCGAGGCGGACCAAAACGCAGCGUGGUGGUUAUUCAUGGUUCUUUAAUAAAGACAACUGUACAUGAAUAAACUUAACAAAACCAAGAAAUGUGAAAGAAAUCAAAACAGCCCUAUCUGGUGCAAACACAGAGACAGGAACAAACUAGACACACAACAUAGACUAGAACUACACAGCUGAUUCAAAAUAAUCAAAGGCUUGAUGAUUAGUUGGUUGUUUAAAUCAGCUGUGUAGUUUUUGGGCAAAAACCAAAACGUGACCGAGUUUGGGAAACUGAUCUAGUUGAUCGUGUCAGUCUACAGAUUUACUCUAAUCUAGACUUUGAUUGUGUCAUUCAGAUGUUUUUAAUUGAAACGGUAGUAACCAACGCAGCUAUAGUUUAUCAAUGAAUCGCGUCUACCAAUGCAAUGGGCGUCUACCAUGUCUGUUGAACCUAUGCCAUUUAGCCUGGGGGACGAGAUUCCUCAUCAAUGGACUUGACUGACAGGUAAAUUGUUAUUCUGUACUUGGGAGACAAUCACCGGUGAAUCAACGUGUUCACCUGUGAGGUCGCAGGAAAAUCAUCUCAGCUGUCUCCUAUUGACAACCAAUUCCAGUCCCUAAUGCAUAUUCAUUAAUGGUACGUUUAGNNNNNNNNNNNNNNNNNNNNNNNNNNNNNNNNNNNNNNNNNNNNNNNNNNNNNNNNNNNNNNNNNNNNNNNNNNNNNNNNNNNNNNNNNNNNNNNNNNNNCUAAAGUGUCCUUUCACUGUCCUCCUGCUAACGUGUCCUUUCACUGUCCUCCUGCUAAAGUGUCCUUUCACUGUCCUCCUGCUAAAGUGUCCUUUCACUGUCCUCCUGCUAAAGUGUCCUUACACUGUCCUCCUGCUAAAGUGUCCUUUCACUGUCCUCCUGCUAACGUGUCCUUUCACUGUCCUCCGGGCUAAAGUGUCCAUUCACUGUCCUCCUGCUAAAGUGUCCUUUCACUGUGCUACGUUAUAGAGUGGAUGUUGUCCUUGGCCUCACCUUGAAAAGAAAGAGUGAAUACAAGUUUCUAGGCUGACGUUUCCCAGAUAGUUUCCCGGUUAUAAUAAUUUAUUUGUUCUUGCCAGGCCUUAAAUAACAAUUUUGUUCUUAAUUGACUAGCCUGUUUUUAAAUAAACCUACCCAUCUAAAUAACCUCUGGCCUCCGCCCACAGUGCCUGUUUCCCCU